GGCGCUAUAGUGUAGUGGUUAUCACUCGGGAUUUUGACUCUAUUUGAAUUUCCCGAAACCCAGGUUCGAACCCUGGUAGAGCCU